AGAGGAGAUGGGAAGAGAGGAGAGGAGAUGGGAAGAGAGGAGAGAGGAGAGGAGAUGGGAAGAGAGAGGAGAAGAGGAGAGGAGAUGGGAAGAGAGAGGAGGAGAGGAGAUGGGAAGGGAGAGGAGAAGAGAGGAGAUGGGAAGAGAGAGGAGAAGAGGAGAGGAGAGGAGAUGGGAAGAGAGAGGAGGAGAGGAGAUGGGAAGGGAGAGGAGAAGCCGAAAGUGCAGAUAGGAGUGGAAUGGUAGAGGAGAGGAAUGAGAGGAUGAGAGAAGGGGGUGGAAUGGAGAGGAGAGGAAUGAGAGAAGGGGGUGGAAUGGAGAGGAGAGGAAUGGGAGGAUGAGAUAAGGGGGUGGAAUGGAGAGGAGAGGAAUGAGAGAAGGGGUGGAAUGGAGAGGAGAGGAAUGAGAGGAUGAGAGAAGGGGGUGGAAUGGAGAGGAGAGGAAUGAGAGGAAUGACCUGUUUGGGCAGUGGAGUGUGGCUGGUUGCCAGGGAGACCUAACGAGACGAGGCCUAACGAGCUUAAUGGCAACACCACGUCUCCAUGGCAACAUGUCUCAAGCUUGGCCCCGCCCACACUAAAUGGCAGUGUGACGCUGCUAACAGGCUAGCAGGCUAGCAGGCAUGGAGUACAGUACAGACAUGGCAUGGAUGCUAACGAUGCUAUCCUGCAUACUAGUGGUGUCAACAAUAAUCGAUUUGGCGAUCCAAUGCAAUGUGGGGCAUGGACGAUCCGAUUCAAUGCGGCAAGUUCCAGAAUCGAUGCUGCAAAUUUUUAAAGUUUCAAUUACUUCCGUGGAUAUUUCGGGGAGCAAAUGAAUGUUAAAUUAAAUAAAAGCACUUGAAAGCAUUGAAAACUGCAAGACUGAUACAGAAAACAGCCAAUAAAUUGUUGCUCAGUAUCCGACUACUUGUAUUGCCUCAUCAUGACUGAUGAAACAUUUGCUUUGCUUUCAGUAGAAAUGUAAUGCAUUGCAAUGCAUUGUAGAAUUGAAUCGGAUCGAAUUGAAUCGAAUCGAACCACUACCUCCCGAUUCGUAAUGGAAACAGAUCGUGAGGACAGUGCUAAUGCACAUCACUACUGUAUACUGUCUACAUGUCAUGUGGCUAUGCUAAGAUGCUAUCAUGUACUGUAUAGGCCUACAGGGCAUGGAUGCUAACGAUGCUAUCCUGUCUACAUGUCAUGUGACUAUGCUAAGAGGUAUCAAAGUGCUUCAACACCCACACUACACUCACACACUUCUCUCCAGCCAUCUGGUCAUGACACGAACGAUAACAUGACGAACACACAAGGGGGGGGCGGGGUUGGGGUUGUUGGCAUGUGAGUAUGUGUGUGUAUGGGGGGGAGGGGCUGGGUUUGAAAUGCUGGCGCUUAAUACUCCUGAGAUCAGACAUGGAGGAGAAGAGACGAGAGGAGAAAAGAGGAGAGAGGAGGAGGAAAAGAGA